rnacentral:sRNA from 1 species
AGAAAUCUAGAAGAAAAUUUGGAGUGGUUAGAAAAAUCCUGCUGUCCCACCGAUUGAAGCGUAAUACAGGGAUAGUUAACGUUUACUUAGCAUUUCCUGUGGGAUCGGCACUGCCUUCUAGCUUUAUUCUAGUCUCGUGGCUCUGUAGGGAAACUUCUCGUUUUAUGAUGAGAAUCCUGAGGCAGAGGUAACGUGCCCUCAGUCUUACAGCUGGUGGUGAUGGAGCAAGAUUGGAACGCAGGCCGUCUAGACCUCUGAGCGCACCCUUUCACCACUGUGUGCAAGCGAAUACACGCGGAACAAUCCUAAUGAAUUUUCAGCAAAAACCACUGACAUCGGCCUGGCUGCCUGGGGACGCAAGGCCCUGGACAUUGCCGAGAAUGAGAUGCCGGGCCUGAUGCGUAUGCGGGAGCGGUACUCGGCCUCCAAGCCACUGAAGGGCGCCCGCAUCGCUGGCUGCCUGCACAUGACCGUGGAGACGGCCGU